GGCCCUUUUCCUCUGGGCAUCUUUCCAGACACUCUUCCCUAAGCCUGUAGUCCUGCAAGGGGUUGUUUUGACCCAAGUGCAGGGUUGAGGGAAACUAGGACAUAAAGGUUGCUUUUAUAGGGAGGGGGCACCUGGAUUUUCAGGCCACCCGGGCACUUCGCUGGAGGAUCUCAGAAAGUGGAAAGCCUCAUUCAUUCAGAGGGAUGCCAAGCUCUGACCAGCACUCACCACUGCCUAUAGAUGGGGACAGGAGCACCCCAAAACCUGCAAGUCCAAGCUCUUCUGUCAUGUUCAACGUCUUGUAUGAGUGAGUCAGAAAAGAAUCCUGCUGGAAAUCCCUGUAACAAGAGAUCUGAAGAGUGAUGAAAGGAGCAGAUUUAGGGUUCUGCCAAGCUCUCUGAGCAUUUCCUCAUAGGAGAGGUGCAUCACAACCUUCAUCAUCUUCAUGGCCCUUUGUCGGAGCCUCUCUUGUACUGGGGAGUCCAGGACUGUACCCAGCACUGCAGGAAUGGCCUCACCAGAGCUGAGCAGAGAGGAAGGACUACCUCCCUCAAUUUGUUGGCAACACCUCUCCUAAUGCAGCCCAGGACACCAUUCACUUUCUCUGCCUUAAGUGCGCAUUGCUGGGUUAUGACCAACUUGGUGUCCCCCAGGAGCCCCAGGUGCUUUUCUGCCAAGCUGCUUCCCAGAUGGAUAGCCCUCAGCACGGACUGGGGAUUGUUCCUCUCCAAGUGUGGGACUUUGCACUUCUUGUUGAACUUUAUGGCCUACCUUCCAGCCCAUUUCCCCAGCCUUGUGUUCUCCCUGGGUGCCAGCACAACCCUCUAGUCUGUCAGCCACCUCUGUCCACUUGUCAUGACCAAACCUGCUGGUGGUGCACUCUGCCCCAUCACCCAGGUGAGUAGUGACCUUAGCAGAGUCAGUUCAGUGACACAGACUUGGGGGUCUCAGGUCUUUCCAGUACACUCAGAGGACUCUCUUCUAGCAGAGACACUGCUUCCUGAAAUCUUGGUGAUUCUGAAAUCUUGGUGAAUAAAAGACAUUGCUGAUUACAACUUAAUUAGAGGGAUCCCUUUCUCCAGCUCCUUGUAGGCUGUAGCUGCUGUUUAAAAGCAGCAAGAGGGUUAUUUUGUCUCUCACUACUGUUUUCUUCUGGCUGUUUCUGGACAAUGAGAGGAGAGUCAUACUAUGGAUGAUCUCUACCACUGAUUGCAGUUGCAGUGCUGGACAUUUAGAGGCCAUGAUUACAGCACAACAGAGUUGCUCAGUGAGUUAAACUGUCUGGGUACAUUUUCAUUACCAACAUUAAUUGAUAAACAAGAAGGACAGAAUUACUGAUGGCAUCUAACACAAGAAAUACUGGCAUCAAAUAGGUUAUUUAGAAUGUAUAAUAAACCAAAUUAUGAGAAUUUACUGGUGUCAGUGUCUGUUUCU